CAACAUCGUUUCUUUUGCUCGUAAGCCAGCGCUAGCUGUUGCCUAAAAACCUCUCAUAGGUUCGAGCGUCUACGGUUUGACUCCGUUAAGGACUGUAGACCAAACCCCAACGGAUGCUCCAGCUAGGCACCUCUGGUUGCCUACUGGCUAAGACUUUACCAGAGCAUCCUGUUAUCCGGGAUAAUGGAUAAUCCCCGCUUCAAGGGCUAGAGAAGCUAAACCUGUGAAUGAGCGAAGUAUUAAUACCCAGAGCGGACACGGGUUCGACUCCCGUCAGCUCCAUUA
rnacentral:tmRNA from 1 species